rnacentral:rRNA from 1 species
AGCGAACGCUGGCGGCAGGCCUAACACAUGCAAGUCGAACGAACUCUUCGGAGUUAGUGGCGGACGGGUGAGUAACACGUGGGAACGUGCCUUUUGGUUCGGAAUAACUCAGGGAAACUUGUGCUAAUACCGAAUGUGCCCUUCGGGGGAAAGAUUUAUCGCCAUUAGAGCGGCCCGCGUCUGAUUAGCUAGUUGGUGAGGUAACGGCUCACCAAGGCGACGAUCAGUAGCUGGGCUGAGAGGAUGACCAGCCACACUGGGACUGAGACACGGCCCAGACUCCUACGGGAAGCAGCAGUGGGGAAUCUUGCGCAAUGGGCGAAAGCCUGACGCAGCCAUGCCGCGUGAAUGAUGAAGGUCUUAGGAUUGUAAAAUUCUUUCACCGGGGACGAUAAUGACGGUACCCGGAGAAGAAGCCCCGGCUAACUUCGUG